UGGAAAUGAGUCCGUGUAUUGUACCAACUCUGACCCAACUAAAAAAUAUAUUACACAUUGUUUGGCUGCUUUCAUAACUCCAAGCAAAUGAACAAGUCAGGCCUUUGUCCAUAUAUGCUGAGCCCAUAGCCCACUUAGCAACCUGAUAAACCUAGACAAACAGAGGCGGUGGGGAUUAGAACUGUGUGUUGGUUAGUUUGAGAAGAAGGAAAGGAAUGGAGAACAGAAAUGAGAUGAAGAAAAGCAUGUGGCUCAGAAAGGUGGAAAUAAAGAAAAUAGAGAAGAAGAACAGUAAUCAGGAGUAAGUCCUGUGUACGGGCAAGAAAGAUGAAGAAGAAAAAGGGUUGUUAGGUCGGAAAGGGGUUGGUGGGACUUGGAGGUUGAUCAACUAGGGUUGGAUGAGCUUGAUGAUUACAGAAUUGCAUUGGAAGGGUUCAGGAAGAAUGUUCUGGCUCGGGCUGAUGAGAUGGCGGCGGCGAGGGCUUGUUCAUCUGAUGAGAUGUCCAUUGCAGCGGCAGCGGCGAGUUCUUGUUCAUCCGAUGCGGCGGUGAGUGCCUGUUCAUCCGAUGCGGUGGGUUUUGGUGUGGAGGGCUCAGCAAGGGAAGUGCCAACUGGACCUGACCCUCUUCACCACCACGACAGUCCUUCCAGACCUUGAUGGAUCAUCACCACCUCUCUGUGUGUCUGUGUGUGUUACAUGUCUUUAAUUUGACUGCUUAAUUAAUGGGGGUUUAUAUCAUUUUCAUUAGUUGUUUCACCUUUUUAUUUAUACAUAUUCUGUUAUUGUACUAACUAUAUAUAUUGACUGCCAUAUAUAUCAAUAUAUGGAUUUGAUUUUGUUGAUUUUUAA